AACGUGCUCCUGUCCAGCGAUGGGAGCCAUGCGGCCCUCUGUGACUUUGGCCAUGCUGUGUGUCUUCAACCUGAUGGCCUGGGGAAGUCCUUGCUCACAGGGGACUACAUCCCUGGCACAGAGACCCACAUGGCUCCGGAGGUGGUGCUGGGCAGGCGCUGCGACGCCAAGGUGGACGUCUGGAGCAGCUGCUGCAUGAUGCUGCACAUGCUCAAUGGCUGCCACCCCUGGACUCAGUUCUUCCGAGGGCCGCUCUGCCUCAAGGUCGGUGACAGCACCCGGCAUGGCCAAGAGGGGGAGCUGCAGGGCCCUGGGGCCCAGGCCGCAGGCUUGAGGGGCUGCUCUGCGGUGGCAGAUGGAGCAAGGGGAGGCCUGGUCAUCCAUGUGGGAUCCUAAUUCAAAUACUUGCCACCCAAAUCUGGGGGUACGAGGGGAGAUCCAGCUGCGGGGGCUUACCGAGUUCAUGGCAGGUGAGAACUCUCUCCUGUCCAUCCUGGGCCCCAUCCACCUGCCUCCUAACGGGCCGGGCCUGGAGGCUGUGGGCGUCUUGCUGCCUGGCUCUGGCCUG
rnacentral:sRNA from 1 species